rnacentral:lncRNA from 13 species
AUGAAAUUGGAGAUGCUGUCUUUCACCUAUUACACCAAACAAAACACAGGAGUUUUGAUUUCCUAUCAGCACAAACCUUGGGUUGAACAACUACUUACAUGGAAAAGAAUUGUGAGAACAAAGAGGUCUUGUGAUGCAUUCAAAGACAUUACCACAUUUUCUUAGGUUUGUAUCUCUUUCUUUGUCUUUUUAUGUGUGUGUUUUUGUUGUUCUUGUGGGUAUUUUUUGUGUAUCUCUUUUUCAACAGGCGUUUUAAUAACCUUAUAAUUUUCUGAGUAAAUGAAUUCAUAACAAAUAUUACCCUUUCCCUAAUUUCUUAUUUUCCUCAUCAGUAUUUAAGUAGUAUAUUAUUCAUCAAUUUGUAAAUAGAGCCCUCAUUUGAUAUUAUAUUAUAGGUAAGCUACUAGCAUUUCAGAUCCUGUAUUUGUAUACUAGAUUAUACUACUUAAUGUCUCAUUACUUUUAUAUUUUUUAAUUUUAUAAAUUUUAUUUGGCUAUGUUGAUCAUGACAUUUUAAGCAAUAUUGUUCUUUAAGUCAUCAACUAAAGUCCAUCCUUCUCUGGAUUUCUUUGCUUUUAACCCAUGAUACUCAUUCUGUUCCAAGAUCCUGUUUAAGUAUACUGAAUUAUAUGUAGUGCUCAUGUCUUUUUAAGCUUCUCUUGGCUAUAAGACUUUCUUAUGUAAGCCUUGUUUUUGACGCUUUGUAAGUUAAGUAGAGUAUUAAUCAGGUAUUGUAUCAAAUACCUAUCAGUUGAAAUGUUUCUGAUUCUUAAAACUUUUUACAGUGGGGUAGUUAAUUUGGGGAAGGAAAUAGCUGUAAGUUAUGAAAUUUGUGGGCAUGGACUCUUUGUAUUAUUAUGAUUUAAUGUCCUCAGAAUCAGAAGUGAUGACCUCUUUCUUAUUUUGGUUAUUGAUCAUUUGUUUCUUCUCUUUUCCUUGUAUUGCCUAGCUAGAGGUUUAAUACUUUCACUGAUAUAUUCAAAGAACAAUUUUUGUUUAAUUUAUCUAUCUGUUAAUUACCUGAUUUCAAUUGCAUUGUUU